GACAGAGGCCUCGAGCGUUAGGCGGAAUCACUGGGCUUAAAGCGUGUGUAGGCGGACGCCUAAGUGUCUUGUGAAAUCCCACGGCUCACCCGUGGAACUGCUGGGCAUACUGGGCGUCUUGGGCCAACUAGGGGCAGCCGGAACAAGCGGUGGAGCGGUGAAAUGCGUAGAUAUCGCUUGGAACGCCGAAGGUGAAAACAGGCUGCUGGGGUUGCGCAGACGCUGAGACACGAAAGCCAGGGGAGCAAACGGG
rnacentral:rRNA from 1 species